GACGAAGGGGGCUAGCGUUGUUCGGAAUUACUGGGCGUAAAGCGUGUGUAGGCGGUUUUUCAAGUCGGGCGUGAAAGCCUUGAGCUCAACUCAAGAAAUGCACUCGGUACUGGGUGACUAGAGGACCGGAGAGGAUAGUGGAAUUCCCAGUGUAGUGGUGAAAUACGUAGAGAUUGGGAAGAACACCAGUGGCGAAAGCGGCUAUCUGGACGGUUUCUGACGCUAAGACACGAAAGCGUGGGGAGCAAACAGG
rnacentral:rRNA from 1 species